UCCUACGGGAGGCAGCAGUGGGGAAUAUUGCGCAAUGGGGGGAACCCUGACGCAGCCAUGCCGCGUGAAUGAAGAAGGCCUUCGGGUUGUAAAGUUCUUUCGGUAAUGAGGAAGGGAUGUUGUUAAAUAGAUAGCAUCAUUGACGUUAAUUACAGAAGAAGCACCGGCUAGCUCCGUGCCAGCAGCCGCGGUAAUACGGAGGGUGCGAGCGUUAAUCGGAAUAACUGGGCGUAAAGGGCACGCAGGCGGACUUUUAAGUGAGAUGUGAAAUCCCCGAGCUUAACUUGGGAACUGCAUUUCAGACUGGGAGUCUAGAGUACUUUAGGGAGGGGUAGAAUUCCACGUGUAGCGGUGAAAUGCGUAGAGAUGUGGAGGAAUACCGAAGGCGAAGGCAGCCCCUUGGGAAUGUACUGACGCUCAUGUGCGAAAGCGUGGGGAGCAAACAGGAUUAGAUACCCUGGUAGUCC
rnacentral:rRNA from 1 species